GCCAUGACUGCUGUCCCACUGAGGAGGCUCUGCCUGAUUUUAAGAGUGAAAUCCAGCGUGUGAGUUCCACUUUGAAGAAGGAAUUAGAAAGCAUGAACACAGCCAGGAUGUGCCAUCCAACCUGGGAGGAGCAUAUACAGGGUCAAGCCCAGUGUGGAGAGGAGCAGAUAAGGGAGGAGUUUAAGACACCACCAGUACCUGGAAGAUGAAGAGACAGCCAGGACAGCUGCCCUGAGAAAGGAAAUGCAACAGAGAUGUCAAGUGAUGCGAAAAAGAGCUGAGCCUUUGACCAAGCAGAUUUCAACCCUAAUAGAGACUAUUCAGAUGAUCAAGGACAUGGAUGUUGACACAAUCACAUUCCUUCAGGUAAGGGUAAAGAUGUUUUAAAUGACAAAGAUGUA